AUAACCCAUGAAACUCAUAGCUGCUGCUAAAACUGGAAGUACUAUUGUGAACGAAUUAACAAUAUGUUAAUAGCUUUAGAAAACUACAGGCAAUAUGAAAAUAGCUUGCCAGUUUUUUUACACUGGCAUCUGCUUAACUUCUGAUGCUCAUAUUUUUUUUUUUACAAGUCUUUCACUGUUGACACAUAACAUCUCCAAGAGGAAUUUAUUAUAUUUCACAGCCUCGUAAAGAUAAGCUGAAAAAUGAAACUCCAGAUUCAAACCCAAAGGAACAGAAUGAAGAAUCCCAUCUCAUCUUCAAGCUAGGGGAGUAGUCAGCUUUGCAGUGCCUAUGUACAGAGGUUCCAAACAUAAAUUUUGAUCUAAGAGCUGCUAAAAUGAAAG
ensembl:lncRNA